AUUAUAAACUAGUAAUACCACAACCUAUGCCAAACCCACCUCCACUACCAAAUAACUUUAUAUUAAUAUAAAAAAUAUUAUGUUAGAACUAGUAAUAAGAAAAAGAAUUUCUCCAAAAUAUAAGUGUAAGACAGAACAAACAAAUUUCUGCUAAUUACUGUUUAUGAAUUUAAAGUAGUAACUUUACAAGAAAAGCCCACUUUAUAAAACAUUAACCUAACACAAGAAUAUUUCUGGAAAGAUUAAAAGAGGGAGAAGGAACUCGGCAAAUAAAGCCUCGCCUGUUUACCAAAAACAUCGCCUCUUGCUAAAUAUAAGAGGUCCCGCCUGCCCUGUGAUUUAAUUCAACGGCCGCGGUAUCUUAACCGUGCAAAGGUAGCACAAUCAAUUGUCCUCUAAAUAAGGACUAGUAUGAAUGGCACCACGAGGGCUUAACUGUCUCCCCCCUCCAAUCAAUGAAACUGAUCUUCUCGUGAAGAAGCGAGAAUUAACAUAUAAGACGAAAAGACCCCAUGGAGCUUUAAACUCAUCAACAAUUACUAUAAUAAAACUAUAUAAAUUAGUAGAACUGUUCCUGAUAGUUUUUGGCUGGGGUGCCCCUGGAACAAAAUAAAUCCUCCAGAAUGAAGGAAUUCAUAAUACUAAUCCUAGAAUUACCACUCAAAGAAUCAAAAUAUUGACAUAAUUGAUCCAAUAACUUGAUCAACGAACCAAGUUACCCUGGGGAUAACAGCGCAAUCCAUUUCAAGAGCUCCUAUCGACAAAUGGGUUUACGACCUCGAUGUUGGAUCAGGGUAUCCUAGCGGCGCAGUAGUUGCUAAAG
rnacentral:rRNA from 1 species